AUUGAACGCUGGCGGCAGGCCUAACACAUGCAAGUCGAGCGGAUGAAGGGAGCUUGCUCCUGGAUUCAGCGGCGGACGGGUGAGUAAUGCCUAGGAAUCUGCCUGGUAGUGGGGGAUAACGUCCGGAAACGGGUGCUAAUACCGCAUACGUCCUGAGGGAGAAAGUGGGGGAUCUUCGGACCUCACGCUAUCAGAUGAGCCUAGGUCGGAUUAGCUAGUUGGUGGGGUAAAGGCCUACCAAGGCGACGAUCCGUAACUGGUCUGAGAGGAUGAUCAGUCACACUGGAACUGAGACACGGUCCAGACUCCUACGGGAGGCAGCAGUGGGGAAUUUUGGACAAUGGGCGCAACCCUGAUCCAGCCAUGCCGCGUGAGUGAAGAAGGUCUUCGGGUUGUAAAGCUCUUUCGGUAGGGAGGAAGGGGAGAAAUUUAAUAUCGCUUUUUUAUGACGUUACCAGAAGAAGAAGCACCGGCUAACUACGUG
rnacentral:rRNA from 1 species